rnacentral:rRNA from 1 species
UACAGAGACUGCAAGCGUUAUUCGGAUUCACUGGGCGUAAAGGGUGCGCAGGUGGCCAAGUGUGUUAGGCGUGAAAGCCCGGGGCUUAACCCCGGAAUUGCACCUAAAACUACAUGGCUAGAGCAUUGGAGAGGGGAGCAGAAUUCACGGUGUAGCAGUGAAAUGCGUAGAUAUCUGGAGGAACACCGGUGGCGAAGGCGGCAUCCUGGACCGGCAUUGACGCUGAGGAGCGAAAGCCAGGGGAGCAAACGGG